rnacentral:rRNA from 1 species
CCUACGGGAGGCUGCAGUGGGGAAUAUUGCACAAUGGGCGCAAGCCUGAUGCAGCCAUGCCGCGUGUGUGAAGAAGGCCUUCGGGUUGUAAAGCACUUUCAGCGGGGAGGAAGGCGUUAAGGUUAAUAACCUUGGCGAUUGACGUUACCCGCAGAAGAAGCACCGGCUAACUCCGUGCCAGCAGCCGCGGUAAUACGGAGGGUGCAAGCAUUAAUCGGAAUUACUGGGCGUAAAGCGCACGCAGGCGGUCUGUCAAGUCGGAUGUGAAAUCCCCGGGCUCAACCUGGGAACUGCAUUCGAAACUGGCAGGCUAGAGUCUUGUAGAGGGGGGUAGAAUUCCAGGUGUAGCGGUGAAAUGCGUAGAGAUCUGGAGGAAUACCGGUGGCGAAGGCGGCCCCCUGGACAAAGACUGACGCUCAGGUGCGAAAGCGUGGGGAGUGAACAGGAUUAGAUACCCGAGUAGUC